rnacentral:lncRNA from 1 species
GUGUUUCUCUAUGGGGCUCUAUGGGUCCCUAUGAGGUUCUAAGGGUCUCUAUGGGGUUCUAUGGGUCUCUAUGUGUCCUUAUGGGGUCUCUAUGUGUCUCUAUGGGGCUCUAUAGGGUCUCUAUGUGUCUCUAUGAGUCUCUAUGUGUGUCUAUGGGUCUCUAUGUGCCUCUAUGGGGCUCUAUGUGUCUCUAUGGGUCUUUAUGGUGCUCUAUGGGGCUCUAUGGGGCUCUAUGGGGUCUGUGUGUAUCUCUAUGGAUCUCUG